rnacentral:rRNA from 1 species
AGAGUUUGAUUAUGGCUCAGGAUGAACGCUAGCUACAGGCUUAACACAUGCAAGUCGAGGGGCAGCGGGAAGUUAGCUUGCUAACUUGCCGGCGACCGGCGCACGGGUGAGUAACGCGUAUCCAACCUUCCCCUUAGUAGGGCAUAGCCCGGCGAAAGUCGGAUUAAUACCCUAUGUUUUUCCAAUGAGGACAUCUGAGCUGGAAUAAAGAUUCAUCGCUAAGGGAUGGGGAUGCGUCCGAUUAGCUUGCCGGCGGGGUAACGGCCCACCGGGGCGACGAUCGGUAGGGGUUCUGAGAGGAAGGUCCCCCACACUGGUACUGAGACACGGACCAGACUCCUACGGGAGGCAGCAGUGAGGAAUAUUGGUCAAUGGGCGCGAGCCUGAGCCAGCCAAGUAGCCGUGCAGGAUGACGGCCCUAUGGGUUGUAAACUGCUUUUAUAGGGGAAUAAAGUUUCCUACGUGUAGGAUUUUGUAUGUACCCUGUGAAUAAGGACCGGCUAAUUCCGUGCCAGCAGCCGC